rnacentral:lncRNA from 1 species
GUGAUCGACCACUCAGUUCGGUGGUCGCCCUCAUGGUUGGUCGGCCUGGUAUAACAAGUCAUAUGUUACUAUUAUAACAAGCCAUAAAUCUUCAUUGAAUUGGGUUCUCAUAUACCAAUUCUCAUAAAUCUUCAUUGAACUGACACCACCAGGUCGACUACACACCAAGUCGAGUGACCAACCACUAUGUCAUCGAAAUAUCUAAUCUUAGGUUUUAGUUUGUUAGUUACUCUAAAACGUGUUUAUUUAGGAAGCCAUCUUAUCCAUAACCUAUAAAUUCUAAAUCUUAAGUUGAUAUAUCAUGCAUGGAAAUUUAUAUUUUAUUUUAAACAUAAAAUAAAAAUCUUUUAAACUUGUUACGGUGUAAAUUUACUGGGACCGAAGUACUAACCUCGAUGACGUCUUCUUCUGUGUUUCUGCCC